GCGGACGGGUGAUUAACACGUGGGUAACCUGCCUGUAAGACUGGGAUAACUCCGGGAAACCGGAGCUAAUACCGGAUAGUUCCUUGAACCGCAUGGUUCAAGGAUGAAAGACGGUUUCGGCUGUCACUUACAGAUGGACCCGCGGCGCAUUAGCUAGUUGGUGAGGUAACGGCUCACCAAGGCGACGAUGCGUAGCCGACCUGAGAGGGUGAUCGGCCACACUGGGACUGAGACACGGCCCAUACUCCUACGGGAGGCAGCAGUAGGGAAUCUUCCGCAAUGGACGAAAGUCUGACGGAGCAACGCCGCGUGAGUGAUGAAGGUUUUCGGAUCGUAAAGCUCUGUUGUUAGGGAAGAACAAGUGCAAGAGUAACUGCUUGCACCUUGACGGUACCUAACCAGAAAGCCACGGCUAACUACGUGCCAGCAGCCGCGGUAAUACGUAGGUGGCAAGCGUUGUCCGGAAUUAUUGGGCGUAAAGGGCUCGCACGCGGUUUCUUAAGUCUGAUGUGAAAGCCCCCGGCUCAACCGGGGAGGGUCAUUGGAAACUGGGAAACUUGAGUGCAGAAGAGGAGAGUGGAAUUCCACGUGUAGCGGUGAAAUGCGUAGAGAUGUGGAGGAACACCAGUGGCGAAGGCGACUCUCUGGUCUGUAACUGACGCUGAGGAGCGAAAGCGUGGGGAGCGAACAGGAUUAGAUACCCUGGUAGUCCACGCCGUAAACGAUGAGUGCUAAGUGUUAGGGGGUUUCCCCCCUUAGUGCUGCAGCUAACGCAUUAAGCACUCCGCCUGGGGAGUACGGUCGCAAGACUGAAACUCAAAGGAAUUGACGGGGGCCCGCACAAGCGGUGGAGCAUGUGGUUUAAUUCGAAGCAACGCGAAGAACCU
rnacentral:rRNA from 1 species